GACGAACGCUGGCGGCGUGCUUACCACAUGCAAGUCGAACGAAGUGGCGAACGGGUGAGUAACGCGUAAUCAACCUGCCCUUCAUAGGGGGACAACAGUUGGAAACGACUUCUAAUACCGCAUACUGAAGGUGGGGAUUGCGUUUGAUUAGAUGGUUGGUGGGGUAACGGCCCACCAGGGCGAUGAUCAGUGUCCGGUCUUAGAGGAUGAGCGGCCACAUUGGGACUGAGACGCGGCCCAGACUCCUACGGGAGGCAGCAGUGGGGAAUCUUCCGCAAUGGACGAAUGUCUGACGGAGCAACGCCGCGUGAGUGAUGACGGCCUUCGGGUUGUAAAGCUCUGUUAAUCGGGACGCGGUACCGGAAUAGAAAGCAACGGCUAACUACGUGCCAGCAGCCGCGGUAAUAC
rnacentral:rRNA from 1 species